ensembl:lncRNA
GCGCCUGCAUCACGGGUGCCCUAAAAAAAUAGGAGACGCGUUCCCCUCCUCCCAGGUUUCUGGUUUCUCCACCCAGUCUCCCCACCGUCCUCCACUCCUCGCACCCCAGCCCUUCCGGCCUCCACCCAGACCGGGGAGAAGCGGGCCUGACAUUCCAGGAGACCCAGGUUUGAUUCCUGGAUUGGGAAGAUCUCCUGGAGAAGAACAUGGCAACCCACUCCAGUAUUCUUGCCUGGAGAAUUCCAAGGACAGAGGAGCCUGAAGAGCUACCAUCCAUGGGGUCACAAAGAGUUGGACGUGACUGAGCA